rnacentral:rRNA from 1 species
AGCUCUAAUAGCGUAUAUUAAAGUUGUUGCAGUUAAAAAGCUCGUAGUCGGAUGUCGGGCUCGGGCAGGCUGUCGGCUUCGGUCGGACGGCAGGCUCGGGUCUUUCUGCCUGAGGAUCCAUCUCAUUCACUUGGGGUGGGGACGCAGGCCGUUUACUUUGAAAAAAUUAGAGUGUUCAAAGCAGGCCUACGCUUGAAUACAUUAGCAUGGAAUAAUGGAAUAGGACUUUGGUGCUAUUUUGCUGGUUUAUGGGACAGAAGUAAUGAUUAACAGGGACAGUUGGGGCCGUUUAUAUUUCGUUGUCAGAGGUGAAAUUCUUGGAUUUACGAAAGAUAAACUUCUGCGAAAGCAUUCGGCAAGGAUGUUU